rnacentral:rRNA from 1 species
UACGUAGGGUGCGAGCGUUAAUCGGAAUUACUGGGCGUAAAGCGUGCGCAGGCGGUUUUGCAAGACAGAUGUGAAAUCCCCGGGCUUAACCUGGGAACUGCAUUUGUGACUGCACGGCUAGAGUGUGUCAGAGGGGGGUAGAAUUCCACGUGUAGCAGUGAAAUGCGUAGAUAUGUGGAGGAAUACCGAUGGCGAAGGCAGCCCCCUGGGAUAACACUGACGCUCAUGCACGAAAGCGUGGGGAGCAAACAGG